rnacentral:rRNA from 1 species
UACGGAGGGGACUAGCGUUGUUCGGAAUUACUGGGCGUAAAGCGCACGUAGGCGGAUUUGUAAGUCAGGGGUGAAAUCCCGGGGCUCAACCUCGGAACUGCCUUUGAUACUGCAAAUCUCGAGUCCGGAAGAGGUGAGUGGAAUUCCUAGUGUAGAGGUGAAAUUCGUAGAUAUUCGGAAGAACACCAGUGGCGAAGGCGACUUACUGGGCACAUAUUGACGCUGAGGUGCGAAAGCGUGGGGAGCAAACAGG